ensembl:snRNA U6 U6 spliceosomal RNA
GUGCUCGCUUUGGCAGCACAUAUAUUAAAACUGAAACAAUACAGAGAAGACUAGCAUGGUCCCUGCAUAAGGAUGACGUGCAAAUUCAUGAAGCAUUCCAUAUUUUU